UACGGAGGGUGCAAGCGUUAUCCGGAUUCACUGGGUUUAAAGGGAGCGUAGGUGGGUUGGUAAGUCAGUGGUGAAAUCCCCCGAGCUUAACUUGGGAACUGCCAUUGAUACUAUCAGUCUUGAAUACUGUGGAGGUUAGCGGAAUAUGUCAUGUAGCGGUGAAAUGCUUAGAUAUGACAUAGAACACCAAUUGCGAAGGCAGCUGGGCUACACAAUUAUUGACACUGAGGCUCGAAAGCGUGGGGAUCAAACAGG
rnacentral:rRNA from 1 species